CCUACGGGUGGCAGCAGUGGGGAAUAUUUGGCAAUGGGCGAAAGCCUGAUGCUGCAACGCCGCGUGAAGGAAGAAGGCUUUUGGGUUGUAAACUUCUUGUGACGGGGAAGAGAAGAAGACGGUACGUACCGCAUAAGCCACGGCUAACUACCUGUCAGCAGCCGCGGUAAUACGUAGGGUGCAAGCGUUGUCCGGAUUUACUGGGUGUAACGGGCGCGUAGCCGGGCUGGUAAGUCAGAUGUGAAAUCCGGGGGCUGAACCCCCGAACUGCAUGUGAAACUGGUAGACUAGAGUAUCGGAGAGGGAGGCGGAAUUCCUGGUGUAGCAGUGAAAUGCGUAGAGAUCGGGAGGAACACGAGUGGCGAAGGCGGCCUCCUGGACGAAAACUGACGCUGAGGCGCGAAGGCGUGGGGAGCAAACGGGAUUAGAUACCCCUGUAGUC
rnacentral:rRNA from 1 species